GAACGUUUAACUUAGUUGGUCAGGGCGCUUGGACUGUGUCCCAAAGAGGCGCGGGUUCAAAUCCCGCUACGUUCA
rnacentral:tRNA from 1 species